rnacentral:tRNA from 1 species
GCGGAUAUGGUCAWAUGGUAAAA